ensembl:lncRNA
AUAUAUAUAUAUAUAUAGCUGAAAGAUGUACAGCUGUGUAUGUGAAACAUCUACAUACCAGCACCACAAGGCCACACUACAGAUAACCUAUCGAUAAAACUGCAUGAUAUAUUAAUGUUCAGUUUCUAGAACUAGGAGGUGUGUAUACAGAUUUUCUGUCUAAAGGCGUUUUUUUUGGGGUGGUGCAUUUACAGUCCAGAAUAUAUGGUAGCUGAUGAGGGGUGUAAUAAGAAACCGAACGAAGAAAUCAAAAUAGGCUUGUGCGAUAUGGCGAUUUAAUCGUCUCUACACGAUAGAACACCUCCACGACGUCCAGUGACGUUUAUUCCGAUGAUACUACAAGGCCCGCCAUCCUUUUACGUAUUUUUACGUAGAAGCGCCUCAAUUAAACAUCGGAGUACGCUGUUACGAGUUCUCAUCCCAAAAAUGCACCAAAGGAGUAAUAAAUAAAACGACAGACGCGUCAAGUGAAAUAUUAAUCUGCCACGAUCGCCUCUGCCACCAAGCAGUUCCUGACUACACUGCUGAUAAUACUAUUACGCCCCUCCUCUCGUCCCUGUAAAACUGUAAUGGUGGACAUGCUCGUUUUCCUGUCUUGAUCGGAUUUUUCUACAGUCACAUACAGGGUUUCGGUUCCUUUUACAGUUGUCGACGUUGCCUCAGAUUGCUAGCAUGGUAUCAUGCCUUUUACAUAUUAAAAUGUAUCUGCGUAAUGGUUAGAGCUGGUGUUUGCUCUUCUAUAUGCUAAAUAAGCCAAAGAACAUGCAAUACACAUUUGCCAGCUUUCACCUUGGUUUGUUUGGCAGUGGUGUUAAAAGCACCUUUUAUUAUAAGCCCAGGUGAAUAAGAUUGUGCCUUAAGCUCGGUGCGGAAGUGUUUAUUUCUUAAUCUGAUGCACUUUUGUAGAAAUGAAUGUUUGUUGUAUUCACCACAUUUUCAUGUUUGUUUCGUUUUUUUAUCGGCCAAAGUUUGAAUAAUGUGAAAUCUGUUUCACUUUAAUUUAUAUCCCAGUGUCUUUUUUUUUUUUUUUUUUUUUUUUUUUGGUUCUGGUUCAUACACAAAUAUUCUGUAUGUAUAAAUAUAUUUUUAUAUCAAUUUUUAUAUAUGGAGAUAGAUGGAUGUCUUUUGGAAUACGAAACAUGAGACGAGACGGGUGUUCGAAACCCAAAACAAAGAGAAACUAUGUUAGCAGCUGGUUUUGCAAAGACAUUUCUGAGUGGAAAAGGCGCUCUGGUUGUUCAACCCAAGCAGAAAGGCUGAGUGUAUGUGUGUCUUAGUGUGUGUGUGUGUGUGUGUGUGUGUGUGUGGCCCUGGGGAAGAGACUGAUCAUGAGAUCAUGAUUCUGACUUGCAGAUGGGAGUUAUAAUUGGCGCGCACACACACACACAUGCACAAACAGUGCCUUUAAUAGAUAACUUGCACAGAAGGUUAUUGCACCUGUUGGAUAAUUUAGGAAGUCGAGAAGCAGACAGAAGAGAGUGAGAGAUUUGAUCGGUUUUAGAAAGCGAGGCGCCUUUUGAUCACGUCCUUAGUAUUAUCAGGUUCUAUCUGAGAGAUUUUGAUACAUCUCUUUGACUUAAUCUCAUUAGAGGUCGACCGAUAUUGGAUUUUACAGAUACCGAUAGCCAAGUUGUGCAGUACCUGCUGAUGACCGUUUAAUCAACCGAUAGUUUUCAAAACGGAUACCGAAUGAAAACAUAACACUCAAAGUAAAAUAUUGCUGAACUUUAUUAGAAAAAUAAACAGUACUGACCCUACAAUGAAAAUGUACUACUUAAAAAUAUAAAACAAAUAUGUAAAUAUGAAUAUAUUAACUAUUAAUAUUAAUAGAUAAAAUAUGUAGAUCCAGACUGAACCAAAAAGUAACGCUCCAAAUAGCAAAUCAAAAUAGAGACAUCCCAAGUGAUUAAAAACAAACAAACAAACAAAAAAAACACUUCAAAUAUCACAACAAAAUUUGUCAGUGAUAGUUUUUAUUUCGCCUCUAGAGGCCGCUCUCGUACUGUAUAACGACAGCGGACCGUUCUCAGCCGCUCCCGCAGCGGACGCAACCGAGAAAAACUAUCGGUGUGGAUUUUUGACCUCUAAAUCUCAUUAGAUAAUUGUUAAAUGCAAACAAACUCGGUAGGCAAAGACAUUUUGAGUUUAUUAAGGUAUGACAUCACAUUCGUGUGGAUUUUCCCUUCAUUUUCUCCCUAAUUUGCUCACUUUCCAAUUCCCUUCCACCAACCACCUCUCCCCUGAGUGCUUCCUCUAGUAAAUGUGAAGCCACAUUCACAACCGCAUCUUCUCGAACUUCUACUUCAUAGAAGCAGGCAGAGUCGCACACUCAGUGGAAACCGCUAUGGCUACGAUUGGCUAGUAUCACUGUGACUGAUACCAUGUCGUCCCUCCUACCCAGAGAGCCCAAUUGUGUUCUCUUGGCUCCCAGCUCCCAUGGAUGACUGUACCAUCAGUGAGAUCCGUACUCGUGAUCUCCGGACGAUACGGCGAACGCGUUUCUCUUGCUCCGGGCAAACACAUCUACUAGCCAAGUUUCAGUCCUGGUUACACUGGAAAUUUCAGUUUAUUAAGCACAUUGCUUGUAUCUAAUCACGGUAAUUUUUCAUCCUAAUGUUAUGAGAUGUUAACCAGUAUAUUAGCUUUCUUCUGCGCUGAAGACGUUCUAACAUCCCAGAACAGUUAUAUACUGUAAAAGCAGCAAGUACAGUAAUGUACUGUUCCUGAUUUGUACACUUAAGUUGUAUUACUCAUUCCCUCCAGGAUUUUGCCAUCGCAGAAAUUAACGCAAAAUCAAGCAAACUUUGCAAUAUUCGGAGGAGCUUGCAAUUUAAAAAAAAAUCACUGCAGAUUUUCGCCAGAUUUGGCACAAGAUGUGACAUCAUCACAGCAAGCGUUCAGCCAAAGCUCUGUUUGAUUCACGAGCGUUGAUCACGAGUACAGCUAAAAGGUCUCAUUUACAAGCAAACAUCGCUGCGAAUGACAAUUUCUUGCAAUUGCAAUUUUGCCAAUUUAAGUUGUUUUCCGCAAAAUAAAGCACAAAAAACGCUCCAAAUUGCAAAAAAAAUUUUUUUUAAAUGACGCAACACAAUCAAGCCUUGACUCAUGGAGUAAUUGUAUAACCUCCUCCAUCCUCAACUGCUUAUCCGUUAUCGGGUCGCGGGGGCAGCAGCUCUAGCAGGGGACCCCAAACUUCCCUUUCCUGAGCCUCAUUAACCAGCUCUGACUGGGGGAUCCCGAGGCGUUCCCAGGCCAGUGUGGAGAUAUAAUCUCUCCACCUGGUUCUGGGUCUUCCCCGAGGUCUCCUCCCAGCUGGACGUGCCUGGAACACCUCCCUAGGGAGGCGCCCAGGGGGCAUCCUUACCAGGUGCCCGAACCACCUCAACUGGCUCUUUUCAACGCAAAGGAGCAGCAGCUCUACUCUGAGUUCCUCUCGGAUAACCGAGCUUCUCACCCUAUCUCUAAGGGAGAGACCAGCCACCCUCCUGAGAAAACCCAUUUCGGCCGCUUGUACCCGCGAUCUUUUCGUCACAACGGUGCAGUGAAGCGAUUGCAAUACCACUCCCACUGCUCCGAUUGUAGAACAUAUCCAGCUAAAAAUUGACUUUCUCCAUUGUGUGUAGAACAUGGAUAUUGGUUGGUCAAAGCAGUCUAUGUUCAUCCUGAAUGAUGAUUGGCUGGCAGACAGACAGAACCUUGUAAUACUGAGGUCACGAAACUGUAACGACGUGAACGUGAAAGAUGAACGUGUUGCGACACGGGUGGACGCCAGAGCGCCAGGUUUUCCUCUCAGCUCGACGGCUUUGUUUAGCUCAGGGUUCGAGUGACACGUGCCCAUCACAGGGGCACACAAAUUGUCUGACCAAUCCCUGUCAGUGUUUCGAUCUCCUUCAAUCAGGAUGGCUGCUAUUUUGUUUUUGGCAGCUAGCUAUCAGUAUUUUAAAAAGUCUAUUCAUCAAAGAAUUUCAGUGUUUUAUUUGCUCGUGUUGUGAAUUGUGAGAACCCUGAGGUAAGCAAAAGACUAUGAAGCAAUAGUUGAAUUAUAUAUGAUGAUGUAUCAUGACAUAGGACUUGCAGUGCAAAGUCUAAUGUAUCAAAGUCAUUUACAAUAAAAAAGAACUGUAUGCUCUCAAACUGUUUUUUCCUCUUCAGUCAAUAUAGAAUUAUUUCAAUGAUUUCAGGUACGUGUCACACCAACUGUGUUUAUAAACACUAAUUACAGCAAUUAUCACUGAAUUGUUUCAAAGGCAAAAAUCCACUUGGAAAUGUUUACGAUUGCAUGUUCUACUUUUAGUCUAAACAAAUGCCUAAUUAUCUGAGUAGUUCAGAUAAAUUUUCAUGUCCGAAAAAUGAUGACAUUUAAGUAGUUACUUUUCCAGGCAGUUUGCAUGUUCUCCUCGUGUUUUUCAGGGGUUUCCUCCGGGUACUCCGGUUUCCUCACCCAGUCCAUGUGCUGGUGCACAGUUAGGGAUGUCACAAGAACCAAUACUUCAGUACCAAGUCGAUACCAACAUUCUUAAAAGGUGACGGUACUUGUUUUUCUGCAGUAGUGAUGGUACCGUUGGUAAUGAAGUUACCGCGGUUGUAAUUCUUCCGGAAAUGAAGGGGGCAGCAAAUACGCGGAAGUGUUUUAGUCGGUCCAUAAGUGUUAAUGAAGAAGAAGGACACCUAUAAGCAUACGGGAAAAACUACAGAAGACAGUGCCAAGUUUAGCUCCGCCCUGACUCUUUGAGAGGAAAGGUGGUAAGAGUCAAGUAUGUAAAUACUUCGCAUUCGAGGCGGAUGACAACAAACAUAUAAUUGAUGCUGUGUAGCCGGUGUGCGACCGAUGCUAUCGUUCAUUUCAAACAAAGCGAGGAAACAUCUGGAAUCUGGCGAAGCACAAUUAUCAUGUACGUUUGGUGGUAUCGGUACCGACUACUAGAUUUUUGGUAUCAUGACAUCCCUAGUCCGCAGUGUGCGAUUGUGCCCUGCGAUGUUUUGGAACCCCAUCCAGGGUGUCCCCCGCCUCGUGCCCCGAGUCAUGUGGGAUAGGCUCCAGGCUCCUCCACGACCCUCUGUAUAAUAUGCAAUAUGGAAAAUGGAUGGAUUGAUGGAUGAAUGGACAUUUCCAGUCCUUAUUGGAGUCACUUUUUCAAAUUGAAGUCUCAAGUUGAUGUUUGUUCAGCCAUAUAAAUGGCUAUUAUGUUUUACCCUAUGUAGUGAUCAUAUAUAGUAAACAGUAAAAAAAAAUAAUUGAAAAAAACACAUUUUGGUUUAGAUCCAAGGUGCCAACAUUUUAUGGUUUAGCUGUAGCAUUU